GAGUUUGAUCAUGGCUCAGGAUGAACGCUAGCGGCAGGCUUAAUACAUGCAAGUCGAGGGGCAGCAUGUCCUGCAGCAAUGCGGGAUGAUGGCGACCGGCAAAACGGGUGCGGAACACGUACACAACCUUCCUUUAAGCGGGGAAUAGCCCGGGGAAACCCGGAUUAAUACCCCAUAGUAUGGUGAAAGGGCAUCUUUUUACUAUUAAAGAUUUAUCACUUGAAGAUGGGUGUGCGGCUGAUUAGCUAGUUGGCGGGGUAACGGCCCACCAAGGCAACGAUCAGUAACUGGUGUGAGAGCACGACCAGUCACACGGGCACUGAGACACGGCCCAGACUCCUACGGGAGGCAGCAGUGGGGAAUUCUGGACAAUGGGCGCAAGCCUGAUCCAGCCAUGCCGCGUGA
rnacentral:rRNA from 1 species